rnacentral:rRNA from 1 species
GAGAUCGGGAUAACACCUGGAAACAGAUGCUAAUACCGGAUAACAACAGAUGAUGCCUAUCAACUGUUUAAAAGAUGGUUCUGCUAUCACUCUUGGAUGGACCUGCGGUGCAUAGCUAGUUGGUAGGGUAACGGCCUACCAAGGCGAUGAUGCAUAGCCGAGUUGAGAGACUGAUCGGCCACAUUGGGACUGAGACACGGCCCAAACUCCUACGGGAGGCAGCAG